rnacentral:rRNA from 1 species
CAUGGCUCAGGACGAACGCUGGCGGCGUGCCUAAUACAUGCAAGUCGAGCGGACAGAUGGGAGCUUGCUCCCUGAUGUUAGCGGCGGACGGGUGAGUAACACGUGGGUAACCUGCCUGUAAGACUGGGAUAACUCCGGGAAACCGGGGCUAAUACCGGAUGGUUGUUUGAACCGCAUGGUUCAAACAUAAAAGGUGGCUUCGGCUACCACUUACAGAUGGACCCGCGGCGCAUUAGAUAGUUGGUGAGGUAAUGGCUCACCAAGGCAACGAUGCGUAGCCGACCUGAGAGGGUGAUCGGCCACACUGGGACUGAGACACGGCCCAGACUCCUACGGGAGGCAGCAGUAGGGAAUCUUCCGCAAUGGACGAAAGUCUGACGGAGCAACGCCGCGUGAGUGAUGAAGGUUUUCGGAUCGUAAAGCUCUGUUGUUAGGGAAGAACAAGUACCGUUCGAAUAGGGCGGUACCUUGACGGUACCUAACCAGAAAGCCACGGCUAACUACGUGCCAGCAGCCGCGGUAAUACGUAGGUGGCAAGCUUUUUCCUUAAUUAUUGGGCGUAAAGGGCUCGCAGGC